GAGGAGAUAUGCAAGCCAGGCCAUGACCUAAAGAUGUCCUUGGAGAAGAUGGCCAUUGGAGUGUAGGGGAGGAACAACCUUGUCCUGCUCAAGGAGGAGGAGGAGGACCACCCAAGCUCGACGACGACACGACAACAUCCUCGUCUCCCCCACCACCGCCCCUCGGCCGCCUCUAAUGUUGUUGCGGAUUCUUAGAA